rnacentral:rRNA from 1 species
CCCUCUAACGGGGGCAUGUGCACGCUCUGUUUACACGUCCACUCACACCUGUGCACCCUCUGUAGUUCUAUGGUCUGGGGGACCCCGUCCUCCUUCCAUAGUUCUAUGCCUUUACACACUCACUGUAACGAUGUCUUAUGGAAUGUUUUCUGCGUUUAACGCAAUACAAUACAACUUUCAGCAACGGAUCUCUUGGCUCUCGCAUCGAUGAAGAACGCAGCGAAAUGCGAUAAGUAAUGUGAAUUGCAGAAUUCAGUGAAUCAUCGAAUCUUUGAACGCACCUUGCGCCCCUUGGUUAUUCCUUGGGGCAUGCCUGUUUGAGUAUCAUGAACACCUCAACCCUCAUGGUUUGCUGUGAUGGGCUUGGACUCUGGGGGUUUGCUGGCUCGUGUGGUUGGCUCCCCUCAAAUAAAUCAGCUUGCUGGCGUUCUGGUGGCAUCAUGGGUGUGAUAACUAUCUACGCUCGUGCUUGUUUGCNGGGUAACCUUUGGCAACAAAGGUUCGCUGGGGCUCACAAACGUCUUUCCUUAGCGAAGACAGCCUUUGAACGUUCGAUCUCAAAUCAGGUANGGACUACCCGCU